GCCGACGUGGUGGAAUUGGUAGACACGCUACUUUGAGGUGGUAGUGGGUAAAACCGUGGGAGUUCGAGUCUCCCCGUCGGCACCA
rnacentral:tRNA from 1 species